rnacentral:lncRNA from 1 species
AUGCGCAGCCGCAGAUGCAGCAACUUCGUUGGUCGACCUGCAAUCCCCUCCCUUCCUCCCCAAACCCUAGCCCAGACCUCGUCCCGCGGCUUUACGUCAGCGGCGUUGCUAGGAUACGGGGAGGGGGCGGGGAAGCAAAGGCGUCCGUGGGAGGUGCUGCAAGAGCCGGGUAGGGACUUCCUCUCUCCUCCUUUUCCUCCGCCUUUCUUCCUCCAUAGGGAGAGAAGAGAGGACAGGAAGGAAGAGAAGUCGUUCCUCCUUCUCUUGGAGCUGUUCCACGCUCUGGGCCAUCUCACCCUCCGAGGUCCUCGGGUGCGUCCGCUCCUUCGUGGAGUGCCCGGCUUCGCCCUAGAGGCAGGCCUACGACGUGCUGCGAGCCGCGCCCGGCCCCGGAGCUGCCCGUGCGCACGCGCACACUUAGGCAGGCGCGCGCGUGUGUUUUCCGCCGCCCUAGUUUUUCUACCGGGGGUGGUCAGGGGAGGCCGGGAAUCGCAAUGACUGUAGCCUCUUUGCUUUUCCAUGAACAAGCUACGACAGCUCCCAAUUCUGGGGAUUUUCAUUGACCCUCAUACCUGGAAUUUUCCCUCUCUUCACCUUCACUUGCUGAUUUUUUAACUUCUUUCAAAGUCCAACUGAAAUCCUGUCCUCUACAAGAAACUUUUAGUAUCCCUUAAUACUAAUACCUUUGUGUUGUUAAUUGUCUCCAAUUUGUCAUAUAUGUACACAUUCGAACACAUAUAAUCUUGUUUUAAUAUAUUUUUCAUGUUUUGUCCUCUAUUAAUAGAUUCAAUCUCUGUGUCCCCAGCUCUUAAUUGUUCGUUACUAAUCUGUUCUUCUGACCCCUUGGACCAUAAGAUUUUCUUGGCAAAGAUACUGAAAUGGUUUGUCAUUUCCUUCUCCAGUGGAUUAAGUUAGUGGUUAAGUUGCCCUCUGACUUAAAAGGGAAAGUCUUAUAAACUGUCAUUUUUGAUUACUAUAUUACAAAAAUGAAUAAUAUAGAAAUAAGUUGUAAGUGAUAAUGUAUAACCCAGUGGAAUGGCUUGUCAGCCCUGGGAGGGAGGAGGAGAUAGGAAAAGGAAAAAACAUGAAUCAUGUAUUCUUGGAAAAAUAUUUUUAAAGUAAAUUUUAAAAAGCUAAAAAAAAAGAUGAACUCAUUUUUCUUAAAUUACAUGAUAUUUUCAGUCUGACUUUACAAAUGACAGGCACUAUAACUUUGGGGGGCUUGUAUGGAUGAUGGCUUGUUGAAGAUAGAAUGGUUUUUAUGAGAUAAGAAAAUGGGAUUCUACACAUGAGAUUAACAAAGCUUCAGGUAUAAAAGAAGAUGGUACUAUUCUCUCACCAUGUCCCUGUAAAUAUCCAGAGCAAAGUUCUUAAUCUGAAGUCCAUGGACCCUAAGAUUUCAAGGGAAUCUGUGACCUUAGAUGGGGG